GGGUGCUUGAAGCUGUCUGCUUUAAGUGCUUGUGUCAGGCUGAGAGUAGGCAGAGAAAAGCCCCGUAUCAAUGUUAAUCAAUACGAGGCCCUCUGUAAUGCCCAACAACAUUACGGUAGCCUUUUACCCGCCGAAAGGCAAGGCAAGGAGGCUGAA
rnacentral:antisense_RNA from 1 species